rnacentral:rRNA from 1 species
UACGGAGGGUGCGAGCGUUGUCCGGAAUCAUUGGGCGUAAAGGGCGCGUAGGUGGCCCGGUCAGCGUGCGGUGAAAGCUCGGGGCUCAACCCCGAGUCGGCCGUGCGAACUGCUGGGCUCGAGCACUGUAGAGGCAGGCGGAAUUCCGGGUGUAGCGGUGGAAUGCGUAGAGAUCCGGAAGAACACCGGUGGCGAAGGCGGCAUCCUGGACCGGUAUUGACGCUGAGGCGCGAAAGCCAGGGGAGCAAACGGG